CCGGAGCCACCUGCCAGUUAGGUGUGAUGGUCUUCAGCUGUCCUUGUACGGCACACGGUGAUGGCAGCAGCCUCCGACUGGGGUCGGAGCCAGUGGCCCGAGAACCUCUCAGCUCAGGGGAGGCGACCGAGUCAGGGAUCACAGGACCCUCUGAGCCAGCCGGGCGUCCUUCCUUGGCAUCGAAGAUGGAUUCACAUCCCCAGCUGUGGGAAAGAUAAGUGGAGGACUCCCACCUGGAGAGGGGAUGGGAGCUGGGUCCAGUUUUAUGGUUAGGAGGGAGGGAUUGUCAAAUGAGCAGAGGGGAAAGGGUCUGCCCUAACAGGCCCUUGGCACACAUAGGAGGAGCAGUUUACUUUUCAUCAUGGAGUAGGAUGUGCAGGGCAGAGCAGUUCAGGUCUGUGUCGUGUCCUUUGUCCCGUCUGUGUUUCGUGUCUUAC